rnacentral:rRNA from 1 species
UCUCGGCUCUCGCAUCGAUGAAGAACGUAGCGAAAUGCGAUACUUGGUGUGAAUUGCAGAAUCCCGUGAACCAUCGAGUCUUUGAACGCAAGUUGCGCCCGAAGCCAUUCGGCCGAGGGCACGUCUGCCUGGGCGUCACGCCU